rnacentral:rRNA from 1 species
GAGUUUGAUCGUGGCUCAGAACGUACGCUGGCGGCACGCCUAACACAUGCAAGUCGAACGCAGUAGCAAUACUGAGUGGCAAACGGGUGAGUAUAAUGUGGGAAUCUGCCUUUUGGUUUGGAAUAACACGGGGAAACUUGUGCUAAUACCGAAUAAGCCCUUACGGGGAAAGUUUAAUGCCGAAAGAUGAGCCCGCACUUGAUUAGCUAGUUGGUAAGGUAAAAGCUUACCAAGGCAACGAUCAAUAGCUGUUCUUAGAGGAAGACCAGCCACAUUGGGACUGAGACACGGCCCAGACUCCUACGGGAGGCAGCAGUGGGGAAUCUUGCACAAUGGGGGAAACCCUGAUGCAGCGAUGCCGCGUGAGUG